AGGCAGCAGGCGCGCAAAUUACCCACUCCCGGCACGGGGAGGUAGUGACGAAAAAUAACGAUACGGGACUCAUCCGAGGCCCCGUAAUCGGAAUGAGUACACUCUAAACCCUUUAACGAGGAUCAAUUGGAGGGCAAGUCUGGUGCCAGCAGCCGCGGUAAUUCCAGCUCCAAUAGCGUAUAUUAAAGUUGUUGCGGUUAAAAAGCUCGUAGUCGAAUCUGUGUCUCACGCCGCCGGUUCAUCGCUCGCGGUGUUUAACUGGCGUGCCGUGGGACGUCCUGCCGGUGGGCUUCGCCUCUUCGGGGGCGGCCCAACUUCAAAUCCCACCGCGGUGCUCUUCGCUGAGUGUCGAGGUGGGCCGGCACGUUUACUUUGAACAAAUUAGAGUGCUUAAAGCAGGCUAAAACUUCGCCUGAAUAUUCUGUGCAUGGAAUAAUGGAAUAGGACCUCGGUUCUAUUUUGUUGGUUUUCGGAACCCCGAGGUAAUGAUUAAUAGGAACGGAUGGGGGCAUUCGUAUUGCGACGUUAGAGGUGAAAUUCUUGGAUCGUCGCAAGACGGACAGAAGCGAAAGCAUUUGCCAAAAACGUUUUCAUUGAUCAAGAACGAAAGUUAGAGGUUCGAAGGCGAUCAGAUACCGCCCUAGUUCUAACCAUAAACGAUGCCAGCUAGCGAUCCGCCGACGUUCCUCCGAUGACUCGGCGGGCAGCUCCGGAAACCGGUGGGCAGCUUCCGGGAAACCAAAGCUUUUGGGUUCCGGGGGAAGUAUGGUUGCAAAGCUGAAACUUAAAGGAAUUGACGGAAGGGCACCACCAGGAGUGGAGCCUGCGGCUUAAUUUGACUCAACACGGGAAACCUCACCAGGCCCGGACACCGGAAGGAUUGACAGAUUGAGAGCUCUUUCUUGAUUCGGUGGGUGGUGGUGCAUGGCCGUUCUUAGUUGGUGGAGCGAUUUGUCUGGUUAAUUCCGAUAACGAACGAGACUCUAGCCUGCUAACUAGGCGUAUUUUCGACAUCUCAAAGGCCCCACGGCCCGGCGUUUUCGCGUCGCGGUCGCGCGUGGUUUUUACUGUCGGCGUACAAUCAAUUCUUCUUAGAGGGACAGGCGGCGUCUAGCCGCACGAGAUUGAGCAAUAACAGGUCUGUGAUGCCCUUAGAUGUUCUGGGCCGCACGCGCGCUACACUGAAGGAAUCAGCGUGUCCUCCCUGGCCGAGAGGCCCGGGUAACCCGCUGAACCUCCUUCGUGCUAGGGAUUGGGGCUUGCAAUUGUUCCCCAUGAACGAGGAAUUCCCAGUAAGCGCGAGUCAUAAGCUCGCGUUGAUUACGUCCCUGCCCUUUGUACACACCGCCCGUCGCUACUACCGAUUGAAUGAUUUAGUGAGGUCUUCGGACCGGUACGCGGCGGCGCUCC
rnacentral:rRNA from 1 species